rnacentral:lncRNA from 1 species
UGGCCAUAAUUUUAGUUAUGUAGGUCCAAACGAGGUUUCGUUUGAAGUGUUGGAGAGCUAACGUGCAGAGCUACCUCAUGGCAGUACUUGGAGAAAUAAUUGAUUUGUAGUCGUGUGUUUACUGUAGAAAUGUAUGAGAUGACAUGUAUGACUAAUUAGAUAAUCGUUGUGUUUACUUAAUAACGAGUUGAUGUUAUAAUGAUUUAAAAUGAUUGAAUAUUAUGCGAAUAUGAAUUUGAUGAGCUGCCG